rnacentral:rRNA from 1 species
AGCAGCAGCCACGGUAAUACGUAGGGUGCAAGCGUUAAUCGGAAUUACUGGGCGUAAAGCGUGCGCAGGCGAUUAUGUAAGACAGGUGUGAAAUCCCCGGGCCUAACCUGGGAACUGCGCUUGUGACUGCACAGCUAGAGUAUGGCAGAGGGGGGUGGAAUCCACGUGUAGCAGUGAAAUGCGUAGAGAUGUGGAGGAACACCGAUGGCGAAGGCAGCCCCCUGGGCCAAUACUGACGCUCAUGCACGAAAGCGUGGGGAGCAAACAGGAUUAGAUACCCGUGUAGUCCCUGUCUCUUAUACA